GCCCCGGGACGAUUAGGGCAGUUGUCUAGAACCUCCGGGCCGUCAUGACCCACUCCCUGCUUGCCGUCCUGCCUCUUCAACCCGCUCACAGCAUCCCUAUGAUGGCAGCGAGUGCUGCUGCGAAGCAAUGACUGGGCAAGUCUUCUCUCGUCCUUCUCCCUCCGACUCUCCCCGCGAGUCCAGUUUCAAGCCCCGGUGCCUGGGUCCCGGUGCAGAUUCACCGCUUGCACACCCGAGGUCUAUCGCUCCGAGGGACAUCUCCAUGGGGCCAAGCCACCGCAGGGCAGCGCACGGCGUACCGUGCCCCACCACAGCGCGUCGGCGGGUCCGCGUGUAACCACAGGCUGAGAACCACCGGCGUAGGAGAACGAUGCUGGCGGCGCUGGUGGUGGAUGCAACGCGUGGUGGGCUGGGUGCGCGCGAGUUUCAAGAAGCAGGCGACGAUACAACGUUAGCCCAACGUUCCACGUUGACUGGGAGGAAAAAUACCGACAAGACGGGUCUCGACACAGCAGCGGGAGAUUUCGGACAAACAGACAAAGAGCAUGGGGGUGUGCGGGAGCCACGGAGGAACGUGUCGCGUGGCGGGAGACCUCGCCGGACACGACCAACGGCGGCGACUCCAUUGUGCGCUCUGCUCACAUUGCUGAUCGUCGUGCCAUGGCACGAGCGCGGGAGGCAACAACGGCGGGGGGAGGGGAGCGGCGCGGCGAGUGCUUGGCAGGGCAUCACAGGCCACCGCCUUAUUAUUGUUCACAGCACCCACUUGGAUAUUCACAGAAAGUCGUGCCCGUCCGCCCACGCACGCGCGCACGUGUCCCUUGACUGCUUCUUAACGGAUCUGUUUCUGUGCUGGGUCCAAUUCUGUUCUCCUUAUAUUUAAACAAUCUUGGACUAAACUUAAAUCACUCAGAAUUUUGCUGAUGACGCUGUAAGGAUAGUAUCAGGUAAUUCUCCAAACAAAAUCAAACAGAAUCUCCAAUACAAUUUCGACUUAAUUGAAUAUCAA